GUGUGUGUGUGUGUGUGUGUGUGUGUGUGUGUGUGUGUGUGUGUGUGUGUGCCACCCAGGCUGCAGACAAGACACGGAUCAAUGUGUGUCAGGACUGUACACAAUGAUGUCAGGGACAGGAGAAAAGUGAGGGGGGGAGGGAAACAAAAACUCUUGGCACAUCAGGAUUUGGCCAGAACCCCAUUGGUUCAUCAGAUUCUCUGGAAUAAUAAACAAGCAAUCAGAAGACGGCAUGAGUGUACACAAAGGCAUUGCAAAACUUUUGCAGAUAAUAAAAAGAGCUGUUUUUUUUUUUUUUGUUUGGUUUUGUUUGGUUUUUUUCACUUGAGGCGAGGUGGAUGAUUGUUUGUGCUCCUCAGUUGUCCAUAAAUAGAGGGAGCCCCCACUAACAGGAAGUAUAAACACACAGAUGAAGUGGAGGGAAACUGUAGUCCAGCGAAGUGAUUUCAAACAUUUCUGUUUAUGUGUAACUGUAGCCUCGGUUUGAGCCUGAAACACAAAGGAAUGUUUCCUGAGGGAGAAGGAGGGGUCAAACUGAGCCACACACUUUGUAGGACUCAAAAAGUGUGAACAUCAGUUCUUUUAAAAAUAUGUAAAUAUCACUAAAACCUUUUUGUUUUAGAUUAUUAAAUAAAAUGUAGUGCCCCUUUUCCACUGGUGCCACUUAGUGUCAGUACGGUUCGRUACGGUUCCAAGCCAUUUCCAUUAGGCCAGAUUCGUGGAACUGGCCCUUUUUUUAGUACCUACUUCAUUGUGGUUCCAAGCGGCCCAAGUUGACAGCAAAAUGUGACGUCAGAACACUGUUCAUCACUGAUUGGCCAGGGGGUGGAGUCACUGGUUGCUUCUAAGCUGCCUUUAAAGAACAACUCAAGGCUCCGUUUUUGAAAUUGUAGCAGUGACAUUAGUCGUGUUUCCAUUCAAUUUUAAUUCGAAUUUUUAGCAAUUUUUUUUAUUUCUAAAGGUGUUCAUCAAAUGUGUUUCCAUCUCUCAUUUUGCACAUUAACUUUUAUCGAAAACCCCCAAAACCACCUCUACCAACCGCCCAAAAYACACCCACUGGAACCGGAUUGGAACGUCAAUGGAAAGGCACCCGAACUGACCCGUUCCGACACUUACCAUACCGAUACUACACUAAGUGGCACUAGUGGAAAAGGGGCAUAAGUUUCCCUUCAGUCUAAUUUGUCCCUCAAUGAGCCGUCCUCGUGUGUCGCCUCAGGGUUAACAGAGCUCUAAUGAUGCAGUGUCUCUGCUCCGGUCCCUGGAGGCGCUCCACUCCUCAGGAAUUAAUCCUGUUGUCUUCAUUAACCUGCCGGCCCGCCGGCCCCAGCAGUGCUGAGCACCAGGACCCCCAAUGUCACGCUGAUAAUUGAUGUGUUGUUUAGAGCUACAAUGAUCUCCUUAUUCCUCUCAYUUCAUCUCAACUUUCUUCUCACCCAGAUCAUUCGGAGCGCUUGGCAGGAAGUGUGUGAGGCGAGGAGAAUCCUAUUGAUCGUCAAGGCAAAACCUUGUUCAGGUUCAGGGUUCCUGUCUUCAUGUCUGUGAUUUUAUGUCUCCAUGUCUCCAUGUCUUCAUGUCCUCAGGACUCCUCCUCCUCACGCUCUUGGCUGUUCUUGACCUCAGAGCUAAAUCAAGUUCAAAACGGGACCACUGGUGUUUGACAGAUAGUUUUACAUGAGGGCAGAGGGAGAACCAGUUGUUUGGUCAACCUCUGGCUCCCUCUUUGAUUCGCAGCUAUCUGUGACCCCCAGCCCCCCACCCCUCCCCGGCAGAGCGACACCACUUAAACCUCUUCAUUCUGUCACAAUCCUCAGACUGAUAAGAUCGGACAGAUAAAUUAGCUGACUGCACUUUCAGUUUCUGUUUCUUCAACUGCAUUAUUUUCGCAACUCAGCACAGUUAUUUGUUGACUUUUUUUUUCUUUAUGAGCAGGACUUCAUCAUGUAACUCCAUGUUACAAAAAGAACUCAACUCUGUUAAAAAACAAAUAAAUUAUAUUUAAUUCAAUGGA